ensembl:lncRNA
AUGACACUGACUCUAGGGUCCCUGUGUCUGAGCUUCAGAAGUCGGAUGGACUCUGGCAGUAGAACCGAGUAGUGCCAGCAGUUUAUCUGUAGUAAUCAUUCUAAUCAUUCCCAAAGAAAUUCUACUGAGGCUGAAAUUCAAGAGGUCUAAUCUCAAGGUAGUCAUGUCGACCAAGAAACAUAGCCAGUACCUAAAAGGUAAUUUCAAAAUAAUUAUUGAAUUCUUUAUUUGCCUUUGUCAAACACCAUGCUGUCAGCACACAGUCCACAGUCUCUUUUUGUACCCCUCUUGACUUUAUCCUAUAGCUUCUCAAGAAUUCUUUUCUCUAAAUCCUGAAAACCUUUUUUCCUAGAUAUAUCCCAUGUGCCUUUUUCCUUCUUCUCUUCUCCUCUUUCUCCCAAUUCUGUAUUCCCUAACUCUAAAGAAGCAUCUGGCAAUGACAAGAACCUCCCGGAGUACCCAGGGGCAAGGGCAAUGCUGGGAAGGCAUUAGCAACAGCCUCCACCAAACGUCCCCGAGUGGAAGCUUGCUAAGUCAGGAAGAGCCUGUGUAACUUGGAAGACUUGUGGGAAAUUCUGGAAGCUCGGGAAAGAUAAAACUUAUUCAUAAAAAUGUAUAGUUCAUUCUCAUAUGUAAAGAUCAUAGAUACCUCGGAGGGAACUUUAGAGGCAUGUCAUUUUCAGGAAUGUUUUAUCCACGUUGCUUUGAGCCUCCAUUACUAAACCACACAGCAAAUUGUCUCAGCCCUGAGCUCCAGAAGGACCUGGGUUUGGAAUUCCUCGGUUCUGCAGGUCAGGAGGGAGCUGUUUUGGCAGUGCAAAACAGGGAAGCUGGCACGGUGGCUGUCUGCACUGUGUUGAUCUUUUGGAGGAAAUACUGCAAGAAGGAUGCCCAUGGCACUUUGAACGUUCCGGAUCCACCAAUAUCAGAAAGAUCUUCACUCAGGUGGAGGAGCAGUACAGUGGCCAAGAGAAAGAUUGGGUUGACAGAGGGAAAUAAAAAGAAUUCUGAUAUGUAAUAGAUGGGAUAAUCAGGAUACAGUAGGUCAUGGUCACAUUUGAGCUCCAGGUGGUGUCUGAUUGACUUGGAAGCAAUGCAAUAGGUGCAAAUUUGACCCUUAUAAUUCCUGCCAGUUUGGACCCUCAUAAUUGGGUCCAAAGAUAUUAGCUGUCACUUGACAUUCCCAUUGGCAAAAAUGAAGGGCAAGCCUCUGUUGACAAAGCGUGAAACGUCAUCUGCUGUCUCUUUAACGCCAUAAAUGAGUCACUUAUUCCAUAGAAGAGCAAGAAGAAAGAGCAGGGGGCCGGGCGAGGUGGCUCAUGCCUGUAAUCCCAGCACUUUGGGAGGCCGAGGCAGGUGGAUCACGAGGUCAAGAGAUCGAGACCAUCCUGGUCAACAUGGUGAAAUCCCGUCUCUACUAAAAAUAUGAAAAAUUAGCUGGGCAUGGUGGCGCACGCCUGUAAUCCCAGCUACUCAGGAGGCUGAGGCAGGAGAAUUGCCUGAACCCAGGAGGCGGAGGUUGUGGUGAGCCGAGAUCGCGCCAUUGCACUCCAGCCUGGGUAACAAGAAUGAAACUCCGUCAAAAAAAAAAAAAAAAAAAAGAAAAGAAAGAAAGGAAGGAAGGAGAAGAAAGAAAGAAAGAAAGAAAGAAAGAAAGAAAGAAAGAAAGAAAGAAAGAAAGAAAGAAGAAAGAAAGAAAGAAGAAAGAAAGAAAGAAAGAGAAAGAAAGAAAGAAAGAAAAAAGAGCAGGAAGAGCAGGAAAUGUUAGUUACCAUCUUUCUCCAUCAUCCACCUCAUGUGACGGAGCAGAAUGUGCCGCUGGGCAACAGUGACAUGGGCCCAUUUCUUGUCCCACUCAGCCCCAGUACUGGGAUAAUCGAUUCAAUCAUCUCACAACUUUCGGGGUAUUCUUUUCAUCCUCUUUGGUUCAGAAACUGAUUUAGAGAAGGGGGACUCUGAGUAAUCUGUAAAGUAUUGUUUAUCUACAAGAUUUUGAUGUGUUAAGCCUGAAUCAGCAAUUAGGUUUAAUGCCUUGCUAUAUUUGCUUGAAAAUGGAACCUGUAGCAAAAGCAAAUGUACUAUGCUGAAAAGAGCAUUUAAAAAAUAAUCUCAGCUGGGUGUGGUGGCUCAUGCCUGGAUCCCAACACUUUGGGAGGUCAAGGCAGGAGGAAUGCUUGAGGCUAGGAGUUUGAGGCCAGCCUGGCAACAUAGUGAGACCCUAUCUCUACAAAAAAAAAAAAAAACAGAAAAAUUAUCCAGGCAUGGUGGCACAAGCCUGUAAUCCCAACUACUAUGGGGACUGAUGUGGGAGGAUGGCAAUGAGCUGUGUUUGCACCACUGCACUCCAGCCUGGGCAGCAGAGUAAGAUCCUGCCUCAAAAAAAUGAAAAUAAAAAUAAUAAAAAUUUAAAAGUAAUCUUAAUUGUUUGUUACUCUAAUGGUACAAGCCAUGGAUGAUCGUAGGGAAGUGAAUUACACAGGCAAACAUGGAUAAGAGGGGCACUGCAUUGUAAGAGUCACAUGCAUAUAGGAUAAGGGGCUACUUGGAGAAGGGGAGUUUCUCUGUAAAUAACACAAAUAGAGAGAUUUUCUUUAAAUCAUCUGGUUGCUUUCCAUUACCAGAACCUGUACUUUGAGUAUUCCUUUGUGUUUUUUUUUUACUUUUAUCAUUUGAUGUAAAGACACAUUUUAUGAAAAAGCAUGGCUUACAUGAGUUCCAAAUUGUUUUAAUUAUAUACUACUACUUUCAUUUGUUAUCUUUCUUUUUAAGCAAAGAGUCUCAAAGGAUAUUAUGAAACCAAAUUCAUUAAUCUGAAUAUACGGUGAACAACUUGUUUGCCAUUUCAUGAACACAAUUAAUCUUGCUUUUACCCAGCCACGGUGAUUCAGUGUUUAAAAAAUGAUAAUAGAACCCUGUCCCCUUUAUUCCCGUGCUUCAGGUUCAACUUUGAUUACUUAGUACAUACCACCAAUUCUAGGCAUUAAAUUGAAUUUUUCGACAGUGAAUCAAUUAGAACACAUUCUUUGUUGUGGUUGAGAAGUGGGUGUCAAUAACAGAGAAACAAGAUUGAGAAGAGUGGAGGGGGACAGGUUAUUUUAUCUUUCAAAGACAAAGUUCUGUGCACGGAAGCUUCUUGGUGCUCAUUAGGAACACAAACCUCCAUACAUGCAUGAAGAAUGGGAGCAAAAGGAAUUUCAAUCGUUUUUUCAUGAAAUCUGACCCAGAAUUAAACAAAGAGAAUUCUAAAGCUUUUGCAUAUGCCAUUUUUAGGGGCAGACAUCAAUCUUUUCCCCCCUUCUCUUGUGUUGCUUGAACAAAAAGAAUUAUUGAAACUGAACUUGUUCAGGUUUUUAUAAAUCAAGAUGUCAACAAAUACAAGCAUGAGUCUAGUUACAACAAGAGACUGUAGUUUAUAGAAUAAAGCUAACCUGUUUUUUAAGCUUUACAAAGAACUCAUUGUUUAUUCUCAUGUAGAAAUGUCUUGUAAAGCUGCUCGCUGUCAGGUAUUCUAUUUUUAUUUAGUUGUUUCAUAACUCAAUUAUAAUGUUCUCCUUUACCUAAUAAUUAGGAGAUAAAGAGUAACAAGGCUGGAAACCUCUUCUUUUCCCCACUGUGUGUCAGUUACAUUUUCAGAUUGUUAAUGGAGAGCAGUUGUGCCUGUGUAGGUGGGUCCUUGUCCCUGCUAGCCUGGCAGCUUACCUCUGCACAGUAGUAAGGGUCAGCUCGUGGAGAAAAGCCAGCCAGAGGCCUGAGCAGGGACUUCCCGUCAUCUGGAACAGUCUGGGGUACAAGGAAAGAUAUCAGCAAUAGGUGCUCAGUUGACUCUCUAGCUCCCCUGGGAAUACCAGUAUUUCCCGUAAUUCCACGAUUGGGAAAAUUUAACACUCACUACAGGUAAUUUGAUGCACAAGUUUUAGGGUCCGUAUUUGGUUGCAUUUCAGUUCUUUUUUUUUUUUUUGAGACAGAGUUUUGCUCUUGUUGCCCAGGCUGUAGUGCAAUGGCUCAAUCUCGGCUCACCGCAACCUCAGCCUCCUGGGUUCAGGCAAUUCUUCUGUCUCAGCUUCCCAAGUAGCUGGGACUACAGGCGCGUGCCACUCUGCCUGGCUAAUUUUUUGUAUUUUUAGUAGAGAUGGGGUUUCUGCAUAUUGGUCAGGCUGGUUUAGAACUCCUGACCUCAGGUGAUCCCCCGGCCUCAGCCUCCCAAAGUGCUGGGAUUACAGGCUUGAACCAUUGUGCCCCGCUGGUUGCAUUUCACUCUUACAGAUACAUGCCUAGGUUUUUGUGGGCACUUACUACCUUUUGAACACCCUUUCUGUGUUUCAAGCAUGACCAAAGCAGGAGUCUGGCCUUUCCAAAGUAUGAGCCCCCAAAACACUUUUUCAGCUUCUCUUAUAGCAAGGUUGCACUCUUAAAUAUAUAUAUAUAUAUAUAUAUGUAUAUUUGCCCACAUGUGACCUAGGCUCAGCCAGUACACCUUGGUUGGAGGAGAAGUUGUUUUGGAAGAGAACAAUGAGAGGAAGUAGGUGCCUCGCAGAAUCCACUUUCUGGAAAAGGUGACAGUUGAGCUUCUAGCUGUGGGGGACGACAGUGGCAGAUGAUCUGACGUCCAGUGCCCAGUGCUAGCAGCACAUGUUGUGAUAGAGGAAGAGGGCCAUAGGGAUCUUCUUGUUAUACUCUUGAUGGAUACUGUGCCUAAGACCAAGAUUUUCUUUACAAUUAAAAAAAGUUGCAGGCAUCUAAUGUAAUUGUUCAUUACAGAUAGACACUCUGAAAAUCAAAGCAUUUAAUUUAAUUUGUUAGAUUUUUUUAAAGUUAUUAAGAUGGUAGCUUUAUGUGCAUUAUUUUCCAUAGGCAAGUAAUAUAGCUUGUCAUAAAGAAACUCAAGGACAAAAGUGUUUGUGGGAAACUGGCCUGGUCUGGUACUCUUGAGAUAUUUGGGGGGCACAUAUGUGUUUAUAUAUAUUUAGUUUAGAUAUUAUAAUUUACCCAUUUCUGAACCUUCUUCCUCCUUUUUCCUCUGUUCUCUUUUCACACCAGCAUUAUUGCACCAAUCUGAUUUUUCGGGGCCUGAGUGGAAGAGCUCUCUGAAAUAUAGCAUGGCCUAUCGGCAGAACCCCAUUAGUUGGGUUAGGAAAGGGGUUACAAUGGGAACUAUGAUAUGAAAGUAGAACAGAAAACCCCAUAUCCAAGUUUCGGUAAAAAAAUACAUUUUUUGAAGUUGAUGCUAUUUGUAAUU